GACGAUCAAGAUUGCAACGUUCCCAAAUGCCGCGGUCAGAAGCUGGUUUGUCCAACGAAGGACACUUGUUCUUGCUUCUGCAAGGAUGUCCCUUGCGUAGUACCACGGUGCUGUGCUGGAAUGAAAAGCACAUGUUUAACGAAAGCUGGAUGGUGCGAGUGCAAAUGCAUUCCUCAUAAACAACAUUGCUCAGAUCCUUGGGGCUCAUAUUGCCCAGUAUAUAACGGCUUCCAGUUGGCUGUGUGUGUUGGCAACGGACCCUGCAAAUGCAACUGUGUUGGCUCUUACAACCCGCAUGAGAAGCGGGAAUACAAAUACUUGUGACGACUUCACCUUCCUACCGUCACUGUUCGUUGACGACCAUCCGUUGUAGCAAGUUUCGGUAUUUCUAGAGCAAUACUUAGACUGAAUAAAUAUGUGAACAUAAUUUACAAAGAUA